CUGGGGUACUCGAGUGGCGAACGGGUGAGUAACACGUGGGUGAUCUGCCCUGCACUUCGGGAUAAGCCUGGGAAACUGGGUCUAAUACCGGAUAGGACCAUCGUUUAGUGUCGGUGGUGGAAAGUUUUUUCGGUGUGGGAUGAGCUCGCGGCCUAUCAGCUUGUUGGUGGGGUAAUGGCCUACCAGGCGUCGACGGGUAGCCGGCCUGAGAGGGUGUACGGCCACAUUGGGACUGAGAUACGGCCCAG
rnacentral:rRNA from 1 species